GAUGCUUUGCAGAUUUUGUCUUCUCUAGAUUGAAUACUGCUAGCGACAAUAUCAUCCAGGAUAGCACGUGUAAACCUUCGCCCAGAGCAAAAGGAGUUGCAGUCUUCAAUCUCUGCCUGCACGAUCUGAUUCGCUUGAACAGAAACUGAGCCACGAUACUCGUGAUAAAUACCAGCUGUAUCAAUACAAAAGUGCUCGUCCAAAAACAAGGAUCAUGCUAAGGCUAGGAGAGCCCCCCUCAAAAACACAUGAAUUCCUAUGCUUCCGUAUCUAGCUCUGGAGAGGGUACGGUGGUAGAUGGUGGAGGCGGCCUCUGCGUCGGACCAGUUUGGGAUCCAGUCUGAGUGGUGGCUGGACUGGAGCAUCAGACUAUAGAUGUUAUGAUUUGAUGCGAUAUCUGUUUGGUAUUUGGCCCGGAUAUUCAGCACACCUUUAUCAAGGAAUAGGAGUAGCAACAUGUGUUGCCUAGAUGGUGGCUUCAGACUAACUGAUGUAUUACUUUGUAUGGUUUUUAUAAAUAAUUAAUAAAAUGGCUGUAUGCAUCGUCUAGAUGCAGAAGCCGGGGGUAUAUCCUCCUUUUCUAAAAAAAAAAAAACCAACACAACCAAAGUGCCAAAACUCUUGCCAUAUUGUCUAUCAACUUGACACUUUGCUUAGCGCCUUGCUUCCGU